GAUGAACGCUGGCGGCGUGCCUAAUACAUGCAAGUCGAGCGAACGGACGAGAAGCUUGCUUCUCUGAUGUUAGCGGCGGACGGGUGAGUAACACGUGGAUAACCUACCUAUAAGACUGGGAUAACUUCGGGAAACCGGAGCUAAUACCGGAUAAUAUUUUGAACCGCAUGGUUCAAAAGUGAAAGACGGUCUUGCUGUCACUUAUAGAUGGAUCCGCGCUGCAUUAGCUAGUUGGUAAGGUAACGGCUUACCAAGGCAACGAUGCAUAGCCGACCUGAGAGGGUGAUCGGCCACACUGGAGCUGAGACACGGUCCAGACUCCUACGGGAGGCAGCAGUAGGGAAUCUUCCGCAAUGGGCGAAAGCCUGACGGAGCAACGCCGCGUGAGUGAUGAAGGGCUUCGGAUCGUAAAACUCUGUUAUUGGGGAAGAACAUAUGUGUAAGUAACUGUGCACAUCUUGACGGUACCUAAACAGAAAGCCACGGCUAACUACGU
rnacentral:rRNA from 1 species